GUAUACAGAAUGGAUUCGUGGUGGGCCCUUCUCUGUGGGCCUAUCACAGGUACUCAUGCCAGAGUAAAUUGCAGCCUCGAGCUAUUUCCCAGCCUCCUUACGUGUGGCUGUGAGCACGGAAGGGGGCCCAUAACA